UAAACUUGACAAUAUAUUCAAUUACGUUAGAGCCAAACCUUAAUGUUAGAUGUACAGUACAGUUAUUUUUAAGGUCUCUGCAAAAUGAAAACAUAAAAUGGCCCAUGGAUGUGGUUUCCUCUUAUCAAGCAGCGACAUACAGUUUAUUUCCCUCUCCGAUUUUUGCAUAUUAUCAGACCCACACCCCUCAGAUGAGAAAGAGAGCCACAGUGCAUUACUGCCACUUGCUUAAGUCUGUUGCUCCUUCGCCGCAUCACCAGAAAACCGCCUCCAGCAAGCCCUGCAGUCCUGACCGAUCACACCCGUCACAUCAGGGACAACAAAAUGGGAAAUGUCCACACUGCAUUGCAAAUGAGCAACUACAGCAACAGGAAUGUACGUGUUUUCCUCACGAAAGAAUCUCUGGGGAUGAACGGCUUCAUCUCCUCCGAGCACGGGGGGGAUGAUAAGAUCUCGUCCCCGCUUCCCCAGGACGAGAAGUUCAGCUUCAGGAAAAACAUGGAGUGCGUCCGUGUGCUGGCCUCUCAGACUCGGGAAGUGCCCUGGGAGAGUCAACACUUUGUGUCCCUGUUUGUGGAGGAUGACGACGAUGAGAACAUUUGUUCCAGACAAAUCAUUGUCAACAUGGCCCUGAGUGCUCCAGUUACUGUGCUUCUCUAUGAUGUGUAGAAUUGUGUAGCUGUUCAUUAUUCUCUGCACACACAUACACACACACUUGCAGGCCUAUCAUAAAGUGAAAUUGUGUCUUGUCACUGUAAUAAUAGUUGAUGAUGGAAUUUUCACUGCUGUUAACAAAGGAAUAAAAUUGCCACUCAGCUCCAAGAUUC